AUAAUUUUUUUUUUUAAUUUUUAUUACAUUCCUUGAUUUUUAACAAUAGGCAGAAUAUAUAUAUUACAAGGAAAGAUUUAUUUUAUUUUAAAAGUAAAACCCAUUCUAUAAUCAUAUCGAAAUGAAAGGAUUUAUGUUAGCAUAAAUAGUAUGGUUUAUAACCUAUAUUUAAGACCUUUAAAAAGACCUAGAAAUGUAAAUUCAAGUUGAAUGAAAUUAAGUUGACGCGUAAAAGAUUUUAACCGCCGGAAAAAUCAAUGUCAAAGUGUACAGAUUAUUACAAAACCUUUAAAAACGCUUAAACGGGGUUUUAUCGAUUUUUCAGAUUCUUACAUAUUUUAAACCUUGUGAUCUAUAUCUUUAGGGUAGUUGAUGAUUUGGAUAUUACUCUUUUUAACAUUUUUUUUGUUUUUUUUAGCUUCUCAGCAAACCUGUUGCACAUUUCAGCUAUUCGGAAGAAAAAUUGAGAAAAGAGAAUAAGCAGCAAGAUUUUGUUUCUGUAUAUAUAUAACGCGUAAUCGGUUAUUUAAAGGACAUUUUUCGUGUUGAAAAGAAGUCAUACCUACUUCUUCUUUGAUUUAAUUAUUCUCUUUGCUUUCAGAUACAUACAAAUGUUUUUACACAUUCCGUAGUGUGAAACCGAAUAGUGCCGUAAGAAGUUUUUGUUCUUCAGAAGUGGAUUUUUUUUAUAUUCCAAUUACUUUUAGUGUACAACGGUUUACCGAUUUAGUGAAAAGGAAAGCGAAGAGAGCACAGCGGCAGGACCCGAAUAUUCUAACAACAAUACUUAAUCUAAGGCUUAAAGUUUUGUGACAAAAACAUUUACCCCAAGACCACGGCUACGCCCACAAAAUAACACAUAGCAAAAAUGUUUUUAACGCCCUUAAAGGUUUUAAAAAUGUUGCUUUUUAAAAUUCAUUUAAAUGUCAAAAGUUUUUAUUAGCGUAACCGACAUUAUCUGAGUACUCAACUAAAUCGUCCUCUCUCGGUUUAUAAAAACUUCAUUAUCGUCGACGAAUCGAACCACUCACUUUCGGUACUAGUAAGUUCGAAAAUAUUGAUGAGCUGCGUAUCAAACAGGACUCAAAUAAGGCGAUGUACCGAAACUGUAUGAAUUUAGCUUUCCUCAGAGAGUUCAAAAUAAAAAAACCCAAUUUACAAAUUUUGAUUUAUGCCACGGACACCCCCUCCAGAUUCCCUUUACAUUUGAUGACAGCACUGUCUCGCGCUUUAUAUGGCCAACAGACAAUAUUUUUCACUCUUACAUAACCAACUCUACAAACUUCCAAG